rnacentral:rRNA from 1 species
UGGGCGGGCAGGACACUGCGGGUAGAGGAUUUCGUCAGUGAUUGACGAAUGUCGAUCGAACCACCGGGAGUAGUAAGAUUGUUUUAUCGUUCAAUAAAUUCUGUUGUCAGAGAAAACCAGGUACGUUAGUUAUCUGAAUCUUCCCCUGACCGUUAUUCUUAGACAAGAAAGCCCCGGGCUAAGUUGCGGGCCGGCAGCCGGAGGUAAUAGGUAGGGAGCUAUGUUUUCUUCAUAUUUUUUGGGGAGAAAGGGGAGGGCAGGGUGUUUUUUUUAAGUUUUAAGAGAAAACCSCCCCCGCUCCACCGGGGUGGGUUCUUUGGAAAGUGGGAAACUUGAGUACAGAAGAAGAGAAUUUAAUUUCCAUGUGGAGCGGGUGAAAUGCGUAGAUAUAGGGAGGAACCCCAGGGGCGAAGGGGGUCUUUUUUGUUUGUAACUGACGUGAGGCUAGAAAAGGGGGGGAACAAACAGGAUUAGAUACCCUGGUAGUCCCCCCCGUAAACGAUGAGWAAUAAGUGUUGGGGGGUUUCCCCCCUUUAGGGGCGCAGCAAACACAAUAAACUCUCCCCGGGGGGGGUCCGCCGCAAGGGUAAGACUCAAAAGAAUUGGGGGGGGCCCCCACAAGGGGGGGGAACAUGUUGUUUAAUUUGAAACAACGAGAAACACCUUACCAGGUUUUUACCUCCUUUGACCCCUCGAGAGAGAGAGCUUUCCCUUUGGGGACAAAGUGACAGGUGGUGCAUGGUUGUUGUCAGCUCGUGUCGUGAGAUGUUGGGUUAAGUCCCGCAACGAGCGCAACCCUUAUUUUUAGUUCCCAUCAUUUAGUUGGGCACUUUAGGGAGACUGCCGGGGACAAACCGGAGGAAGGGGGGGAUGACGUCAAAUCAUCAUGCCCCUUAUGACCUGGGCUACCCCCGUGUUCCAAUGGGAAGUACAAGGGGUUGUUAAACCGGGGGGUCUAGCAAAUCCUUUAAAGCUUUUUUCAGUUGGGAUUUCAGGUUGAAAUUUGCCUCCAUGAAGCCGGAAUUCUUAGUAAUCGCGGAUCACCAGGCCCGGGGGAAAACGUUCCCGGGCCUUUCCCCCCCCCCCGGCCCCCCCCGGAGUUUUGAACCCCCGAACUGGGGAGGUAACCUUUAUGGAGCCAGCCGCCUAAAG